rnacentral:rRNA from 1 species
CCUACGGGUGGCAGCAGUGGGGAAUAUUGCACAAUGGGGGCAACCCUGAUGCAGCGACGCCGCGUGUGUGAAGGAGGGUUUCGGCGUGUAAAGCCCUAUCUGCAGGGAAGAAGAUGACGGUACCUGACCAAGAAGCCCCGGCUACCUACGUGCCAGCAGCCGCGGGAAUACGUAGGGGGCAAGCGUUAUCCGGAUUUACUGGGUGUAAAGGGGGCGGAGACGGCUAUGCAAGCCAUAAGUGAAAGCCCAGGGCUCAACCGUGGGACUGCUAUUGAUACUGGAUGGCUUGAGUACAGUAGAGGCAGGUGGAAUUCCUGGUGUAGCGGUGAAAUGCGUAGAUAUUAGGAGGAACACCGGUGGCGAAGGCGGCCUCCUGGACGGUGACUGACGCUGAGGCGCGAAGGCGUGGGGAGCAAACAGGAUUAGAUACCCGGGUAGUC